rnacentral:rRNA from 1 species
CCUACGGGAGGCAGCAGUGGGGAAUAUUGGGCAAUGGGCGCAAGCCUGACCCAGCAACGCCGCGUGAAGGAAGAAGGCUUUCGGGUUGUAAACUUCUUUUCUCAGGGACGAAGAAAGUGACGGUACCUGAGGAGUAAGCCACGGCUAACUACGUGCCAGCAGCCGCGGUAAUACGUAGGUGGCAAGCGUUAUCCGGAUUUAUUGGGUGUAAAGGGCGUGUAGGCGGGAGCGCAAGUCAGAUGUGAAAACUCAGGGCUCAACCCUGAGCCUGCAUUUGAAACUGUGUUUCUUGAGUGCUGGAGAGGCAAUCGGAAUUCCGUGUGUAGCGGUGAAAUGCGUAGAUAUACGGAGGAACACCAGUGGCGAAGGCGGAUUGCUGGACAGUAACUGACGCUGAGGCGCGAAAGCGUGGGGAGCAAACAGGAUUAGAUACCCGUGUAGUC